GACGUAGGAGGCGAGCGUUGUCCGGAUUCAUUGGGCGUAAAGAGCACGCAGGCGGUUUGGCAAGUCGGAUGUGAAAACCCGGAGCUCAACUCCGGGCGUGCAUCCGAUACUGCCCGACUAGAGGUAGGUAGGGGAGAUCGGAAUUCCUGGUGUAGCGGUGAAAUGCGCAGAUAUCAGGAGGAACACCGGUGGCGAAGGCGGUUGCCUGGGGCUUUGCUGACGCUGAUGCGCGAAAGCGUGGGGAGCGAUCCGG
rnacentral:rRNA from 1 species